rnacentral:pre_miRNA from 1 species
ACGCUUGUCGAGAGCUCUGUCUGUGAUUUGCGUUCUUUAGCGCGCAAUGGUAACGGACUGUUGUGUUCUUUUUGCUUGAAAGAAUGCUCAGCCAACUGCUGCCAUCCAUAAUAUAUUCGCAUCACAGUCUGAGUUCUUGCUGAGCGU